GGCUCGGUAGCUCAGUCGGUAGAGCAGGGGAUUGAAAAUCCCCGUGUCGGCGGUUCGAUCCCGUCCCGAGCCA
rfam:Akkermansia sp. KLE1798 genomic scaffold Scaffold147, whole genome shotgun sequence.